GCCUCACUAUCAACACCCAAAGCUGAAGUUCUAUUUAAACUAUUCCCUG
rnacentral:tRNA from 1 species